AGUCGAAUGAGCCUUAUCGUCUCGUUGUCACACUCAGUCUUCAUGAUUCAAAGACUGUUCGCAUUCACUCUUCUCCUUCCACCGGACUUUCUUCUUCACCACCUCACUUUCUGUCUUCCUCCUCUAGGUUACACUCCAUCUGAGCCUCUUCCCAAAACAACCUUGCGUUUCACACCCCCUCUACUCCAAACCCUACCCUUGUUCAUCGCCGCCAUUGCCUUCUUCUUCAUUCGCUUCCACCACACACCCACUUGUUCCUCACCUCGCACCGGAACGCGUGGCUGGCGGAGGAGAAGUGCCUCCGGCACCAGAUUGAUGCCACGACGGAGGAGAUCACGCACCUGUGUGGCCUCAACGAAAACUACUUCUCAGGUGAGUUUCUCGCCUCGGUGGCGUUCCUCCACCGCGUGAAGGUCAUUGUUCUGUCGCAGAACCAUAUCUCCGGCGACAUUCCAGCAUCGCUGCUGAAUCUUCGACGACUGUACGUUCUCUACUUGCAAGACAACGCGUUCACCGGACGCAUUCCCGGUUUCAAGUAGAGCAGCCUCAGGUAUUUAAAUGUGUCCAACAACCGGCUCUCGGGCAAGAUUCCGGUGAGGUCGGCAUGGAUCCGGUUCAAUGCGUCGUCAUUUUGGGGGAACCCAAGGCUCUGCGGGGAACAGAUCGAAGAAGCAUGCAAAAUGGUGUGUUGGAAUUCCAUGAUGUUCAUGACAAACAAAGGCACACAGUGAGUUGGAGACGUGUUUUUUUCAUAGUAGAAUCUUGAACUGGGUGAUAAGUGCAAGCUGCCAGAUGGUAUUUAUACAUUUGAGCAUUAGCAAGAUGCACCUUCUGGCUAGUAUUUGCUGCUCCCAAUUGAUUAAGAAAAUUAAGAAGAUUCACAAAUUUGGUCGACAUUUAGACAUAUAUAUUUCAAUAUGUGAUGAUUUUGUUGAAUGGGGGAGUGCCUAUUGAAUUAAUAUUGUUUUUUCAGGAAUUUGGUUGUUGCUAAUAGCAGAAGUUGUUUUUACUUUUUAGUAGAUAUUGAUUUCUGAUGUUUAGUUAUACUUUGUCUGUAGUAACAGAGAAAAUAUGCUUGCUACCGCCCUACAGAGAAAAUAUGCUUGCUAACUUUUUUCUCGAAA